AGCAGCCGCGGUAAUUCCAGCUCCAAUAGCGUAUAUUAAAGUUGUUGCAGUUAAAAAGCUCGUAGUUGAAUUUCGGGAUCAAUACGUCGGUCGUGCCUUCGGUACGUACUGGCGUCAUUGGUUUCUCCCUUCUGACGAACCAUGAUGUCAUUAAUUUGGUGUUAUGGGAAGUUAGGACUGUUACUUCGAAAAAUUAGAGUGUUUAAAGCAGGCAUUAGCUUGAAUACAUUAGCAUGGAAUAAUGAAAUAGGACGUUUGACCCUAUUUUGUUGGUUUCUAGGAUCCACGUAAUGAUUAAUAGGGAUAGUUGGGGGCAUUAGUAUUCAAUUGUCAGAGGUGAAAUUCUUGGAUUUAUUGAAGACUAACUACUGCGAAAGCAUUUGCCAAGGAUGUUUUCAUUAAUCAAGAACAAAAGUUAGGGAAUCGAAGACGAUCAGAUACCGUCGUAGUCUUAACCAUAAACUAUGCCGACU
rnacentral:rRNA from 1 species